GCUGGUGUAGCUCAGCAGGCAGAGCAGCUGAUUUGUAAUCAGCAGGUCGUCGGUUCGAAUCCGACCGUCAGCU
rnacentral:tRNA from 1 species